UCCAGCCAUGUGCCAAGGCAGGCUGACACAGAGCCCGUGCUAGAAGAAGUAUGUCUUGGUGCAGUGGGGUCCAGGGAAUCACGCAGAUAACCGCGCAGAGGGUCAAGUGGGAAGAGUAAGGAGAAGGUGAAAUAUAAGGGAAUGAAGCAGGAGCUGAGAGGAUUUACAGCAGGAAGGCAAGGCUUCAAGGAGCUUCCAGGAUCCCAACCUCACUGAAUGGAGGGACUAUGCCUUGUUUAUCUCAAGCACCCAUCACAGUGUUUGACAAAUUUGUGAUACAAUAAAAUCAACAACAACUUUUGCAAAUAAAAAUUGCACGGCAGAGCUUCAAGAUGGCGGAAGAGUAAGAUGUGGAGAUCACCUUCCUCCCCACAAAUACAUCAGAAAUACAUCUA